UCGUCGUGUGUUAUACGUGUCACACGGAUACUGCCGGGUAUCAAGCCGGAGGGAAGGUGGGGGAUGAUGUCAAGUCAGCAUGGCCUUUAUAUCCUGGGCUACACACACGCUACAAUGGCAGAUACAAUAGGUUGCGAAACCGCGAGGUGGAGCCAAUCCUCAAAGUACUGUCUCAGUUCAGAUUGUAGGCUGCAACUCGCCUGCAUGAAGUUGGAGUUGCUAGUAACCGCAGGUCAGCAAUACUGCGGUGAAUACCGGUUCCCGGGUCUU
rnacentral:rRNA from 1 species